UGGGGAAUUUUGGACAAUGGGCGCAAGCCUGAUCCAGCAAUGCCGCAUGCAGGAUGAAGGCCUUCGGGUUGUAAACUGCUUUUGUACGGAGCGAAGAGGUCUGCCCUAAUACGGUGGGCUCAUGACGGUACCGUAAGAAUAAGCACCGGCUAACUACGUGCCAGCAGCCGCGGUAAUACGUAGGGUGCGAGCGUUAAUCGGAAUUACUGGGCGUAAAGCGUGCGCAGGCGGUUAUGCAAGACAGAGGUGAAAUCCCCGGGCUCAACCUGGGAACUGCCUUUGUGACUGCAUAGCUAGAGUACGGUAGAGGGGAUGGAAUUCCGCGUGUAGCAGUGAAAUGCGUAGAUAUGCGGAGGAACACCGAUGGCGAAGGCAAUCCCCUGGACCCGUACUGACGCUCAUGCACGAAAGCGUGGGGAGCAAACA
rnacentral:rRNA from 1 species